rnacentral:rRNA from 1 species
GACGAACGCUGGCGGCGUGCUUAACACAUGCAAGUCGAACGGUAAGGCUCCAGCUUGCUGGGGUACACGAGUGGCGAACGGGUGAGUAACACGUGGGUGACCUGCCCUGCACUUCGGGAUAAGCCUGGGAAACUGGGUCUAAUACCGGAUAGGACCAUGGUGUGGAUGCUGUGGUGGAAAGUUUUUUCGGUGUGGGAUGGGCCCGCGGCCUAUCAGCUUGUUGGUGGGGUAAUGGCCUACCAAGGCGGCGACGGGUAGCCGGCCUGAGAGGGUGGACGGCCACAUUGGGACUGAGACACGGCCCAGACUCCUACGGGAGGCAGCAGUGGGGAAUAUUGCACAAUGGGCGGAAGCCUGAUGCAGCGACGCCGCGUGGGGGAUGACGGCCUUCGGGUUGUAAACUCCUUUCACCAUCGACGAAGGGUUUCUGACGGUAGAUGGAGAAGAAGCACCGGCUAACUACGUGCCAGCAGCCGCGGUAAUACGUAGGGUGCGAGCGUUGUCCGGAAUUACUGGGCGUAAAGAGCUCGUAGGUGGUUUGUCGCGUCGUCUGUGAAAUUCCGGGGCUUAACUCCGGGCGUGCAGGCGAUACGGGCAUAACUUGAGUACUGUAGGGGAGACUGGAAUUCCUGGUGUAGCGGUGAAAUGCGCAGAUAUCAGGAGGAACACCGGUGGCGAAGGCGGGUCUCUGGGCAGUAACUGACGCUGAGGAGCGAAAGCAUGGGGAGCGAACAGGAUUAGAUACCCUGGUAGUCCAUGCCGUAAACGGUGGGCGCUAGGUGUGGGUUUCCUUCCACGGGAUCCGUGCCGUAGCUAACGCAUUAAGCGCCCCGCCUGGGGAGUACGGCCGCAAGGCUAAAA